rnacentral:rRNA from 1 species
UACGUAGGUGGCAAGCGUUGUCCGGAUUUAUUGGGUUUAAAGGGAGCGUAGGUGGACUUGUAAGUCAGUGGUGAAAUCUUUGGGCUUAACCCAGAAACUGCCAUUGAUACUGCAGGUCUAGAGUACAGUUGCCGUUGGCGGAAUAUGACAUGUAGUGGUGAAAUACUUAGAUAUGUCAUAGAACACCGAUUGCGAAGGCAGCUAACGAAGCUGUAACUGACACUGAGGCUCGAAAGUGCGGGGAUCAAACAGG